rnacentral:rRNA from 1 species
UACGUAGGGGCCAAGCGUUGUCCGGAUUUAUUGGGCGUAAAGAGCUCGUAGGCGGUUGGGUAAGUCGGGUGUGAAAACUCCAGGCUCAACUUGGAGAUGCCACCCGAUACUGCUCUGACUUGAGUUCGGUAGGGGAGUGGGGAAUUCCUGGUGUAGCGGUGGAAUGCGCAGAUAUCAGGAGGAACACCAAUAGCGAAGGCAGCUCGCUGGGACGGUACUGACGCUAAGGCGCGAAAGCGUGGGGAGCGAACAGG